rnacentral:rRNA from 1 species
AGUGAACGCUGGCGGUAGGCCUAACACAUGCAAGUCGAACGGCAGCACAGUAAGAGCUUGCUCUUACGGGUGGCGAGUGGCGGACGGGUGAGGAAUACAUCGGAAUCUACUUUUUCGUGGGGGAUAACGUAGGGACACUUACGCUAAUACCGCAUACGACCUACGGGUGAAAGCAGGGGAUCUUCGGACCUUGCGCGAUUGAAUGAGCCGAUGUCGGAUUAGCUAGUUGGCGGGGUAAAGGCCCACCAAGGCGACGAUCCGUAGCUGGUCUGAGAGGAUGAUCAGCCAAACUGGAACUGAGACACGGUCCAGACUCCUACGGGAGGCAGCAGUGGGGAAUAUUGGACAAUGGGCGCAAGCCUGAUCCAGCCAUGCCGCGUGAGUGAAGAAGGCCUUCGGGUUGUAAAGCCCUUUUGUUGGGAAAGAAAAGCAGCAGGUUAAUACCCCGCUGUUCUGACGGUACCCAAAGAAUAAGCACCGGCUAACUUCGUG